GGGACUGCUGUUUAUUUGCAGCUGGGCCAACUCGGCGGCGCAGGCGGCGGCGGAGCGCGGGGCGCUACCGGCAGGUCCAGCUGCCGCCGACUAUGCCCGAGCCCACCUUCGGGCAGCCGCCGCGCGCCGCCCGGUCCCCGGCUGGGGACGAUGCCAGACGCCCGGGAGAGGCCAGGGCAGCGGCGGCGGCGCGAUGGUAGUGACAAGCUCUGCCCGAGGCGGCGGCGGGGACCGCGCGCCCUCCAGGCGGCGGGGCUGCGGACUUUCGGCGCCUGGGGCCGCGGCGCUGCUGGUCGGGGCGAGCUGCCUGUGCUACGGCCGCUCCCUGCAGGGCGAGUUCGUGCACGACGACGUGUGGGCGAUCGUCAACAACCCCGACGUGCGGCCCGGCGCCCCGCUGCGCUGGGGCAUCUUCUCCAACGACUUCUGGGGCAAGGGCAUGGCCGAGAACACCAGCCACAAGUCCUACCGGCCGCUCUGCGUCCUCACCUUCAAGCUAAACAUCUUUUUGACUGGCAUGAACCCAUUCUACUUUCAUGCAGUAAAUGUCAUUUUACACUGCCUAGUGACCCUUGUGCUGAUGUACACCUGUGACAAAACUGUCUUCAAGAAUCGUGGACUUGCUUUCGUUACGGCAUUGCUUUUUGCUGUGCAUCCUGUUCACACAGAGGCGGUGGCCGGAAUUGUUGGCAGAGCUGACGUGUUGGCAUGCUUGCUGUUUCUGUUAGCCUUUCUCUCCUACAGUAGGAGUGUGGACCAGUGUUGUGUUGGGGAAUGUUUCCCUCCCACGGCUUCUCCCUUCUUCCUGCUACUCAGUCUGUUUCUGGGGACCUGCGCGAUGCUGGUGAAAGAGACAGGCAUCACGGUGUUCGGCGUGUGCUUGGUUUAUGAUCUCUUUUCUUUAUCCCACAAUCAUGAUAAAUCGAGCAAUGGGGUCGUACAUCAGCGCAGCCCACAGCGGCCCGGGAGCUCCCUGCCCACCGCACCGCCAGCGCACCCUCUCCGGGAGAACGGGAAGCAGCAGCGGUUCCCUCACAAAGGAGCUUGGGGUGGCUGCCAUACUCCAUUGCCACCUGAACCCAAGAGCAGUGGAUUCCCUGUGUCUCCUCGAGCUGUGUGGUCCUUGAUGAGGUAUCUGACAGCAAGCCGCAAUAGAAACUUCUUGCUUACCAUGAGGCCAUUCUUAAAAAGGGCCAUUUUGGUCAUAAGUUAUGUGAUUGUUGUUCUGUACUUCCGUCUGUGGAUAAUGGGAGGAUCUAUGCCCCUCUUUUCAGAGCAGGAUAAUCCAGCUUCAUUUUCACCUUACAUUCUUACAAGAUUACUUACCUAUUCCUACCUCUUGGCCUUCAACGUGUGGCUUCUGCUUGCACCUGUUACCCUGUGCUAUGACUGGCAGGUGGGCAGUAUUCCUCUGGUAGAGACCAUAUGGGACACGCGGAACUUAGCCACCAUCCUUCUGGCAGUUGUGAUGGCCUUACUGAGCCUUCAUUGUUUAGCAGCCGUCAAGAGAUUGGAGCACAGGGAAGUUUUGGUGGGCUUGUUGUUCCUGGUUUUCCCGUUCAUCCCAGCCAGCAACCUCUUCUUCAGGGUGGGUUUCGUGGUGGCCGAGAGAGUGCUAUACAUGCCUAGCAUGGGCUACUGCAUCCUUUUCGUGCAUGGAAUGAGCAAGCUGUGCACGUGGCUGAAUCGCUGUGGGGCUGCCACCCUGAGCGUGUCCACUGUGCUGCUGCUGCUGCUUUUCUCCUGGAAAACCAUGAAACAGAAUGAAAUUUGGCUGUCGAGAGAGUCCCUAUUCAGGUCUGGAGUUCAGACUCUGCCCCACAAUGCCAAGGUUCACUACAACUACGCCAAUUUCCUGAAGGACCAGGGUCGGAACAGGGAAGCCAUCUACCACUACAGAACGGCCCUCAAGUUGUAUCCACGCCAUGCAAGUGCCCUGAACAACCUUGGAACACUGACCAGAGACACAGCAGAGGCAAAGAUGUACUAUCAGAGGGCUCUCCAGCUAAAUCCACAGCACAACCGGGCUCUUUUCAAUCUUGGGAAUCUCCUUAGGUCUCAGGAGAAAAAGGAAGAGGCUAUCAUCUUACUGAAAGAUUCCAUUAAAUAUGGUCCCGAGUUUGCAGAUGCAUAUUCAAGCUUAGCUUCAUUACUGGCUGAGCAGGAGAGGUUUAAGGAAGCUGAGGAAAUAUACCAGGCUGGAAUAAAGAACUGCCCAGAUAGCUCAGACUUACACAACAACUAUGGAGUUUUCCUAGUUGAUACUGGCUCUCCAGAGAAGGCAGUGACCCAUUACCAACAGGCCAUCAGACUUAGCCCGAGCCAUCAUGUAGCCAUGGUGAACCUGGGGAGACUCUACAGGUCACUGGGAGACAACAGUGUGGCUGAAGAAUGGUACAAACGCGCCUUGCAGGUGACACGCAAAGCUGAGAUAUUAUCACCGUUGGGAGCUCUAUAUUACAACACUGGCAGAUAUGAAGAGGCUUUGCAGAUUUACCGGGAAGCUGCAUCCCUUCAGCCUUCCCAAAGGGAACUCCGCCUGGCACUGGCUCAGGUUUUGGCCGUGAUGGGUCAGACAAAAGAAGCUGAAAAGAUGACCAAUCACAUUGUGUCAGAGGAGACUGGGUGCCUUGAAUGCUAUCGCCUGUUGUCUGCUAUCCACAGCAAGCAGGAGCAGCACGACAAGGCACUUGAUGCUAUAGACAAGGCUCUGAAGCUGAAACCAAAGGACCCAAAAGUUGUAUCUGAACUUUUUUUCACAAAAGGAAAUCAACUAAGAGAGCAGAACCUUCUUGACAAAGCUUUUGAGCCUGAAGAUAUUUCUUAUGUAUUUAGAGCUAUAAAGUGGCCGUGGAACUAAAUCCAGAUCAAGCACAGGCCUGGAUGAACAUGGGUGGAAUCCAGCACAUCAAGGGAAACUACGUGUCUGCAAGAGCUUAUUAUGAGAGAGCCUUACAGCUGGUUCCAGACAGCAAACUGCUGCAGGAAAAUCUUGCCAAAUUGGAUCGUCUAGAAAAAAGAUUACAAGAAGUUCGAGAAAAGGAUCAAAUGUAGCAGCAUUUGACCAAGUCUCCAAGGGACAGUACUGGUGCCUUUGGAAGAGGAAGAACUGACAGACGGAAGCCUUGCUUACACAUCAGUUGGGGCACAACCGAUGAAGUUUUCCUCUAACUCGAGUUCAGGGUGGCACAUUUUGGGACAAUUGCUGGUAACCCUGCGCUGGGGACUUGCAUUUCCAUGAAAGAAGACAAAAAGAGCAAAGCAGGGGCUAGAAGGCCUGAAGGAAGGAAAACAGCAGCUACACAUUUUACAGACAUUUGUUUGCUUUAAUUCCAGAUUUCCUUUCAUAUGUUUGUCUGCUUUUCCAACCUGGAAAUCUAUUCCAUUUCUUAGUGUAGAUAUUUGUGUCUCAGAAACAGAGGCUUGAAAUGCUAUGAAUGCAUGGCAUCUCUUCUUUAGGAGAGGAGAUAUUUCAGAAAGGGUAAAUCCUCUGGGAUAAACCAUUUGAGAAAUUCUACCAAGAGGUAGCUCAUUUAAUUCUCCAGAACUAGAAAUGAGUAUCUAACAGUUUUUGUAAAACCUUAGGGAAUAUAUGGGGAAAGGGGCUAUUGUAAGAUAAAGCUAAGUAAGGUUUGUCUAAUAUCCUUCUGAGGCUAGUGCUAGAGCCCUAUUGAGAAGUAAAUUAAAUUCCACUCUGAUACAAGCUGUUUUCCCAUUGCCUAAUAUGUCAAAAAGGAAGCUUCUGGAAUUGUGUAUGAGUAUUCUUAUUCCUAGGGAAAAAUCAAGGGUCUUGCUACCCCUGACUCUUCAUGGAAAUGUUUUAAAUUAAUUUUAUUACAAGUAUUACUAGAGUAGUGGUUCUGCUCUAAGAUUUCAUAAGUGCUUUUAAAACUCGUAAAUGUUUCUGCCUCCAAAUAUAUUGUUAUUUUGGUGGAGAAAAAAAUAGUAUAUUCUACAUGAGAAAUAUUAAAGAUAUUAAUUGAGAGAAAUGUUCUACUUUAUUAUCUUAACACUCAGACGUUCUGAGAUUAUUUUUUGAAAAUAUAUUUAACCACUGAGGAAUCUUUAUGGUAGAUUACAGAAAUCUUCAUAGACUCUAAAUAGAUGGACAGCUCUAUUGAUUUGUCUUCCUAGGCUUAAUGAGAAUUCUGUGCUUAGAACAUGAAUGAUAGAACCUGCAGUUCCUGGUUCUGUAUUUGUAAUUUUGGAGAUUUCAUGGAGAAUGCUCAAAAAAUCUAGGAAAAAAAGUCUAAAUUCAUAACUUUAAAAUAUAUAUUUAUAGUUAAAAGAUAGGGAUUGCAAAGUUGAAUUUACAAUUUGUCUUUUAGUGUUAUUUAUUUCAUAACUUAUAAAAUAUUUAAUAUAUACACACUUUUUUCCCUGUACAUAGUGGUUUUAAUAGCAGUUUUCACAACUGAUCAUACAAAAAUUAUAAAUCUAAAUUACAAGGUAGUUAAGUUUUAACAGCCCCUAAAAAAAUUUGUCUUCACUCUUCACUUGCUAAAGCUAAAGAAAUUAGGAAUCAGCCUUCAGUGUUUGGGAGGUAAUAUAUUUUGAAAUUGAAGAAAUUGGAAUACUGAUUCUCAUUUGGUUUUCAUCAUAAACUUAAAAAAAAAAACAAAAACCCACUCUGGUCAGUGCUGUUCCUGGCUAAGCCAGGUGUCAUAAACACGUAGGAGCCUGAAGACACGCGUAUGUCACACACUCAGGCCAGAGCAAGAAGCCUUCCGCUUCUUUUCAACCCCAGUAUCAGAGACCACUGCCUCUCUAUGUUGUUAUUAUUUUUUUGUCAAGGUAAAUCUAGAUAAAAGGAGGAAAAACUUCUUUGGAAAGGGAUGAUGCCAGGAAUAUUUUAAAUGCAAAGGAUUACAGAAUUUGAAUUAGCAAAUUCUGUUUGUGUGUAUUCUGUUUGUGUAUAUCAAUAAUCCAAUAAUGUAUAUAUUACCACUCUGAUCUUCUGUUUCUAAUAGUCUUUUAAUGUUAUAUAUCAUAAAUGUAUCCAAAAUUUCAUUUAAAAUAUUUUUAUUCCCUCCCAAAUUAUACUUCUGUAGUCCUAAGGUCAAGAAAUGUACUAAAGUAUUUAUUGUAAAAUAACUACUCCAUCCCCAAAAUGAAAAACAUGAAGCCCUAGCUAAAAGCAAUAUCUAGGACUUUAAUUACAACUUUUUAGUUUUAGUGUUAAAAAAAACUCAUACUUAGAAAGUUAAUGGAAAAGAUAGAGCCCCAAAUUUUGAAAAGCAAUUAACGCCUUACUUGAAGGGCUGCUAAAGAUAGGCGAGUACAUUUGUUGGAAUAAUUGAAAUGGCUAUUACAGCCUAAAAGUUUCUGAGAGAAAAUGGUCACUGUCCUUCAGGAGACUUUUCCUGCCUUCUUUUGGGUGCUUUUCUCUCUUCCUCUGUUCUCUGUCUCUCUCUUUCUCUCUCCCCCUCUCUCUCCUGCCCUCUCUCACUCGCCCCUUCUCUCUCUCCCCCUCCCUUUCUCUGUCUUUCUCACUCUGUCACUCUGUCUCGUUCUUUCUGCACACACUGGCAUCUCUUUGAACAUUAAAAGUAAGCCUGUUUGUUGGACCAGAUGUUUCUGUCCUGAGUUAAUACUUUCACUUAGAUGUGGCCAGUGAAAUACUUUUCAUAGUUGAGUGGUGCCUAUAAGAAAAUAAAUCACAUAUUAUUUUUCAGAGAUAUUAAAUGUAUUUUAUAACUAUUUUUAUUUGUUCUUGUAACAUGAAAUAAUAUGUGGAAUUCAUCCUUAUAAAAACGAAAAUGGAGUGCCCUGGCUAUUCAUGGAGAUGCAUCCAGGUUCCCUUAACAAAAGCAUGCUUGGCUGUGAGUUGAUAGCCCCUUUCUGAGAUGGAAUUGCAAAGCCAGCUUCGUGGACGUGCAGUCUCUGUAGACCCUCAGAGUCCUGCACUCAGAAGCACCUUAUGUUUGGUUGAAUUCUCUGCUUGAAGUUCUCAGUAAUUUUUGAAUAAUUCCAUUUUGCACUGGGUCGUGGGUAGGAGGGAAGGUGGCUGAGGACAAGACAGGAGUUGCUUCAGUCUAGCUGAACACUUGAUCUAAUGAGCAGAGUUUCAUUUGUGACUGUUACCCUGUGCAGCAUUGGCUAUUUUGUCUCAGCUACACUUAGAGUUCCUUGUGUACAUAUAUUCCCCUCCUACUGCCAGUCUAUCUAACCUGUCCUUCUGUCUGACCAGAACCAGUUCUCCUUGCCUUCAAAUUCUCCAAUAAGUGGCAGUCCUUUCACAUGUCCUUCGACAUGGAGCCACGAGAAUGGCUUUACAAGUUUAUGUUAACCUUAAGAAUUAUUCAGGAUUUUAAAACUGAUUCAGAUGUUUUCAACCUGUUAACAGCAUUCGUAAAACAUGGUUCAGUGAUGUAACGUAAGUGAACUAAACCAAAGAUUUAAAUACCUUGGAGGAAAAGAAAUUUUAUUUUAGGGAAUCCUGAGAUAUAUCUUUUAGACCUGUUUAUUUUGCAGCCCAUCAAAAAACAAAGAGGAUUUUCAGUGCUUUGAUUCCAACUCCCCACAGUACUUCACAGCCCCCAGUGUACGAGUCUGACGUGCCUAACACGUGGUACCUCGGUUUGGUGCAGGGUUUUGCAGUGGUUGUGCAACUGCGUUUCAACAGGACUGAGAAAAUCCAAACCUUUCCAUACAGGGUUUUGUAUCGCCUCUAUUAAACAUUCCAGGCCUCCCGGAUUGAAGAGCCGGGUUCAGCUGAUAGCUGAGAUCUCGCCCCUCACACACAGGUGCUUUGGCCCUGGUGGAUUUGAGAAUAACCUGCGUGCACACCUUUAGGAAUCCCUGGACCCUGGCCACCCAGGUUAUGAUUCUAAUGUGCAGUGAGGCAUUUGACCUUUAUAUUUACAGAAUUCUUGGUUCUCAGGUGGAGAGGGAUUGCCUUGCCAUUUGCACAUACCAGACGAGGCACCCGGUAUAUAAAACUCAUAUUGUUUAUGACUCAUAGAAGGGCCCAUGACAUAGAGCCGUGUUCUCUAUGCCUCCCUCUUUCUUUAGGUUACACAUGUCAGCUUUCAUUAAUUAUUUCUUAAUUGUACUCAUUAGAAUCAGUUUUUUAAAAAAAACAAAAACACUUUUUCUCUGAUUUGUGAUGGAUUUGCACCUUAGAUCAAUAAAUCCAGAGGGUAUUAGUAAUAACACUCAAAGCAAAUGUAGUUAUAGGUGUUCUGUUUAUUUUAAUUUUUUUCCUGGUUUCCGAAUCACAUUUACUUUGAUUAAAUUGUAUGUUGGUAUCUCCCAAUAAUAGCAAAACUUAACUAUCUAAAUGGCAUCUUUUGGCAUUUUAAAAGUAAACACCUGUCAAAUCUUGUAUUUAGGCUGUAAUUGAAUAGGAUGAAAACUUACAAUGCCAAAAACUAUGGAGAAAUAUAACUGUUUAUGAUUAUUCUUGAAGUUUUCAAUGUGAAAAAUAUGUUGAACAGUUCUUCCAAAAAUAUCACUUCAUUAUUUUUUUUUGGUAGUCAUAUAACUUAAAGAGAAGAAAUAAAAUAACUUCAAUCAAAGCUAGGGUUUACUGUCAGUAAAAUAAAAUGUCACAACAGAAUCAAUAUCUAUCAAUUGGCUCAUAUAAAAAUGUUCCAUUUUUAUCACCAAGGAUCCUUUCCAUUAAAACCUUUAGGCCAUAUGACUUGUAAAAUUAGCACCCAUCACAAUUAGUUUGUAAGUUUAGAUCAGCAUUUACCACAAACUGAAAAGAGGCGUCUAUGUCCAGAAAUCCAGGAGUUUUUUCCCAUUCUCAGUGGGGCACGUGGUGCAUAUUUGUAUCACUUUAGACUUUUCCAAUGUGCAUAAUGUCCUUCUGGGGUUGUGUUGCUGGUCCAUAGGAGGGGAGACCCAGUCCAAGAACCAGGAGAUCUGGAUUCUAGUCCUGCUCUGCCACCGAGGUGCCGUCUCACCUGGGACAAGUUACCAAGUGUCUCAGUCAUGUUUAUUGCCCGUUAAAGGAGUGGUUACUCCUAUGGACCUAUCAAGCUCUGUGAGUCCCCUGAAUCCAAAUGCAAAGCCCUCUGCCUCUGAAGAGAUAACUGAUAAGUGUCGCCCUUCGUUUUAGAAAUUCUUAACCAUUGCAGCAAAACACAUACACAAACAACCCUAAAAGUGACUGAACUGCCCAAGUGCUUUAAUAUGGCAGAGGUAACUACUCUUAUUUUGCAGUCUGUACAUAUAAAAAUAAGCGAUUUUUUUACGUUUCUAAGGAAAAGAGAUUUUUAAAAAUUUCCUCCAAAGGAACUAAAAUAUCUGUAUUUUAGCCCCAUGGCUUGCUUUUACAAUGUGGAAAUCAUAUGACUUGCUGUGACUCACCCAUCUCUCCUUUUGUCAGAGGAAAAUACUUACAUCAUGUUCUUGAUCAGUUGUAUAUAAAUGUACAUUUUUGUUACUUUUGCUGUGCCAGUUAGAAAUCUAUCUCCCAUAAAGUAUUUCUCCCAUUUAAGUCUGAUUAUGUACACUUUGCCUAGAUCUUUCCAAAAUAAAAUUUAUGUAAAUGUCUAUUUUAUAUAAAAUAUGAUGAAAAUAAUUAUGUCUUGUUUCAAUCUCUCAAGUGCUCUGUGAUUAGUACCCACUGAAAUCCAUGUCACCAGUAGGUGCCUGCUUUAAAAAUAAAAAAAGAGUAUCCUU